rnacentral:ncRNA from 1 species
AUGAAUAUGGCAAACUUAUCGAAAGAUAAGGACGCAAAGCUAUGGGUCUAAAGACAGGAUGUCUAUGAUUGCCAGGUUGC